GGCUGUGACAUUAUCCCCUGCAAAACACAACUCACCACAGUGCACCAUUCCUGGAUCCCAUCAGAACUCUGAAGUUAAGCGUGCUUGGGCGAGAGUAGUACUAGGAUGGGUGACCUCCUGGGAAGUCCUCGUGUUGCAUCCU
rfam:Oryza sativa Indica Group scaffold002368 genomic scaffold, whole genome shotgun sequence.